rnacentral:tRNA from 1 species
GAUGAUCUAGCCCAAUGGCCACGGGCCCCUCGCUUCAGUCGGGGAGACCCGGGUUCGAAGCCCGAGAGCCCCA